ensembl:lncRNA
GACCAGGGACCCCAGACCCCGCCACCACGGGACCAGGGACCCCAGACCCCCCCACCAGGGGACCAGGGACCCCCACCAUGGGAUCCAGGACCCCAGAUCCCCCCACCAGGGGACCAGGGACCCCAGACCCCCCCACCAUGGGACCAGGGACACCCGACCCCCCCACCACGUGAUCCAGGACCCCAGACCCCCCCACCAGGGGACCAGGGACCCCAGACCCCCCCACCACGGGACCAGGGACCCCAGACCCCCACCAGGGGACCAGGGACACCCACCAGUGGACCAGUAACCCCAGAUCCCCGCCAGGGGACCAGGGACACCCACCACGGGACCAGGGACCCAAGACCCCCAGCAGGUGAUCCAGUACACCAGACCCCCAGCCCCCACACCAGGUGGUCCAGGACCCUCACCCCCCCCACCAGCUGAUGUGGAACACCACCCAACAGGGCUCCAUCUCCUCAGAUGGCCUCUGGUGGACCAACCAGGUGGAGCUCCUGGUCCUCAGGCUCCUGCUCAUCAAGCUGCUGGUCUUCAACACAUUGAUGAGUGCCCUCGCUGCUGUGAGCUGAUGGUGAAGGACGGGGGAUUCCCACGACAAUGUGGCCGACGCCAUCUUCAUCAGGAGAAGACUCGAGGACACAGAGGUUCCUAAAAGCCCACCAACACCGUCACCGUGGGCAACAUGUUGUACCUCCGUCCUGGUACUGUCCUGCCCUUAGCUCGACAAACACGACAUUGAAAGUGUUUUUCUAGGAGGAAUCGUUGUGGAUGUUAAGAGGGAACAGCAGACACAUUUCAAGCAGCCUUCCUGUCCCCUCCACAUCGCAGCUGCUCCUCAGAGCGGCAGUUGAGAACCGGUCGUGUCUUUCAGACUCCAGUCGUGUAUCUGAUCCCAGCCUAACCUCAGCCAGAUGGGGAACUUCCGAGCCAACUGGGUUCGCUGGGUGGUUGUUCUGUGAUCCACAUUUAAUGUAUUCACACAUGUGGAGGGACGAAUGAAACGAAUAGUCAUUGUUUUUUUCUUAAUUGAUUUUUUUAUUUUAAAUAAAACACUUGCAC